GAGAGACAGACAGGUUAACACUGAGACAGACAGGUUAACACAGAGAGACAGACAGGUUAACACUGAGACAGACAGGUUAACACUGAGAGACAGACAGGUUAACACUGAGACAGAC